CUUGAAUGUCGAUCAACACAUUUUUAAAUCUUCCACAUUCAUUUUUACUUUGUGCCCAUAAAUCUGGAUAAAUCUGUACAAUCUCUUUCAGUUCAGGUUAUCCCUAGUAUUAGGCCAUUGCAUUUCUGUAGAUAAUAAUUCUACUGGACAAACAAUUCCUAACUCCCCAUAUUCAGAAGGAUCCAAUAGCACUGGUUUCCUACCCUUAGCAUCUUUCCGUAUAGAUCUGUUUACCAACUCAAC